rnacentral:rRNA from 1 species
UUUUGGNAAUGGGGGNAACCCUGAAUCCAGCAAUGCCGCGUGUGCGAAGANGGCCUUCGGGUUGUAAAGCACUUUUGGCAGGAACGAAACGGCGCCGGAUAAUACNUGGUGUCACUGACGGUACCUGCAGAAUAAGCACCGGCUAACUACNUGCCAGCAGCCGCGGUAAUACGUAAGGUGCAAGCGUUAAUCGGAAUUCUGGGCGUAAAGCGUGCGCAGGCGGUUCGGAAAGAAAGAUGUGAAAUCCCAGGGCUCAACCNUGGAACUGCAUUUUUAACUCCCGAACUAAAAUANGUCAGAGGGGGGUGGAAUUCCACGUGUAGCAGUGAAAUGCGUAGAUAUGUGGAGAACACCGAUGGCGAANGCAGCCCCCUGGGANAAAACUGACGCUCAUGCACGAAAGCGUGGGGAGCAAACAGGAUUAGAUACCCUGGUAGUCCACGCCCUAAACGAUGUCAACUAGCUGUCGGGGUCUUCGGACUUUGGUAGCGCAGCUAACGCGUGAAGUUGACCGCCUGGUGAGUACGGUCGCAAGAUUAANCUCAAAGGAAUUGANGGGGGACCCCCNCAAGCGGUGGAAUGAUGUGGAUUNAUUCCUAUGCAACGCCGAAAAACCUUNCCUACCCCUUG